UAGGAUCCAACUGGUGGAGUGCGCCAAACAACCAUAAUAGGUGGUGGUGGGAGAGGACGGGUCAAAGAAAUGCCAAAAAAAGGUGCAAGUGUCACAUCUCCUCGCCAAUGCUCAACUCGAAAUAGUCCUCCCAUAUGAAGAAAGGAGAUCAUGCGGUAGAUUCUCCAAAUAAUACGUCUGGCCACCAUACGAAUACCUCUAUGCUUCGCAUCAUUCCUCUCAGUCCAUAGAAACCAAAAUAUCAGUAGAGGAAUGAUAAUACGAAUGUGUCCACGGUAAACGUGCUGUCCAGAAUAUCGCCAUCUCUGGAACCUCUGUCUGACCCCCUCCCCUGAAGUCAUAGGUAUCUGUAAGAUGUCUC
rnacentral:lncRNA from 1 species